CACCUUUUGACAUGCCUGGACCGCCACAGAGAUGUGGUUUUCCCUUCGGGGACUGGGACACAGGUGCUGCAUGGCUGUCGUCAGCUCGUGUCGUGAGAUGUUGGGUUAAGUCCCGCAACGAGCGCAACCCUCGCGAUUAGUUGCCAUCAGGUUUGGCUGGGCACUCUAAUCGUACUGCCGGAGUUAAUCCGGAGGAAGGCGGGGAUGACGUCAAGUCCUCAUGGCCCUUACAAGGUGGGCUACACACGUGCUACAAUGGCGACUACAGAGGGCUGCAAUCCCGCGAGGGGGAGCCAAUCCCUAAAAGUCGUCUCAGUUCGGAUUGUUCUCUGCAACUCGAGAGCAUGAAGUUGGAAUCGCUAGUAAUCGCGGAUCAGCAUGCCGCGGUGAAUACGUUCCC
rnacentral:rRNA from 1 species